rfam:Corchorus capsularis cultivar CVL-1 contig15779, whole genome shotgun sequence.
AGUAAGGCUUUUUUUAAAGCCAAAAGUACCCAAAAGAAAAUAAAAG